AUACGGAGGAUCCGAGCGUUAUCCGGAUUUAUUGGGUUUAAAGGGUGCGCAGGCGGGAGAUUAAGACGGCGGUGAAAUUUUGGGACUCAAAUGGAAAAGGGACCUAGAAACUGGUUUUCUUGAGGGUAGAUGUAGGAGGCGGAAUUUGUGGUGUAGGGGUGAAAUGCAUAGAUAUCAAGAGGAACUUCGGUUGCGCAGGCAGCUUACUAAACUACUACUGACGCUCAGGCACGAAGGCGUGGGGAUCAAACAGGAUUAGAUACCCUGGUAGUCCACGCAGUAAACGAUGAUUACUAGCUGUUUGCGAUACAAUGUAAGCGGCUGAGCGAAAGCGUUAAGUAAUCCACCUGGGGAGUACGUUCGCAAGAAUGAAACUCAAAGGAAUUGACGGGG
rnacentral:rRNA from 1 species